rnacentral:tRNA from 1 species
AUAGCUCAGUGUUAAGAGCACCUGCUUAGAAUGCAUGAGGAUCUGGGUUCAAUCCCCGGU